UCCAGACUCCUACGGGAGGCAGCAGUGGGGAAUAUUGGGCAAUGGGCGCAAGCCUGACCCAGCAACGCCGCGUGAAGGAAGAAGGCUUUCGGGUUGUAAACUUCUUUUCUCAGGGACGAAGCAAGUGACGGUACCUGAGGAAUAAGCCACGGCUAACUCCGUGCCAGCAGCCGCGGUAAUACGGGGGGUGCAAGCGUUGUCCGGAAUCAUUGGGCGUAAAGCGUUCGUAGGCGGUAUGUCAAGUCUGAUGUUAAAGCCCGGGGCUCAACUCCGGUUCGGCAUUGGAUACUGGCAAACUAGAAUGUGGUAGAGGUAAAGGGAAUUCCUGGUGUAGCGGUGAAAUGCGUAGAUAUCAGGAGGAACAUCGGUGGCGAAAGCGCUUUACUGGACCAUUAUUGACGCUGAGGAACGAAAGCCAGGGGAGCAAAUGGGAUUAGAUACCCUUGUAA
rnacentral:rRNA from 1 species